rnacentral:rRNA from 1 species
AAUCAACGCUGGCGGCGUGCCUCAGACAUGCAAGUCGAACGCGAACGUCCCCUUCGGGGAGUGAUUAGAGUGGCGCACGGGUGAGUAACACGUAGGUAAUCUACCUUCGAGUGGGGAAGUAACUCAGGGAAACUUGAGCUAAUACCGCAUAAUGCAGCGGCACCACAUGGUGACAGUUGUUAAAGCAUUUAUGCGCUUGAAGAGGAGCCUGCGGCGGAUAGCUAGUUGGUAAGGUAAUGGCUUACCAAGGCUACGAUCUGUAACCGGCCUGAGAGGGCGGACGGUCACACUGACACUGAAUAACGGGUCAGACUCCUAC